rnacentral:ncRNA from 2 species
AUAUUUGCUCAAAAUUUUGGUCUACUUUUUCUUAAAAUUUAAGGAAAAAUAGUUAAAAGGGAAUCAGGUGUAAAUCCUGAACAGACCCGCUACUGUAAGUUCUAUAUAAGUCUUUAAACGUUACUUAUGCCAUUGUCCCGAUUCUCGGGAUGAGAAGGUUGUUUAAAGAUGGAACAAGUCAGGAGACCUGCCAAAAUCACAUAGUUUAA